rnacentral:rRNA from 1 species
GCGGGGAAUCUUGCGCAAUGGGCGAAAGCCUGACGCAGCGACGCCGCGUUGGGGAAGAAGUCUUUCGGGAUGUAAACCCAUGUUGACAGGGAGAAGAAGGAGAUAGUACCUGUUGAGGAAGCCACGGCUAACUACGUGCCAGCAGCCGCGGUAAUACGUAGGUGGCGAGCGUUGUCCGGAAUUACUGGGUGUAAAGGGUGCGUAGGCGGCUAUUUAAGUUAGUUGUGAAACCCUCAGGCUCAACUUGAGGCAUGCAACUAAAACUGUGUAGCUUGAGUGCAGGAGAGGAUGACGGAAUUCCCGGAGUAGCGGUGAAAUGCGUAGAUAUCGGGAGGAACACCAGUGGCGAAGGCGGUCAUCUGGACUGUAACUGACGCUGAGGCACGAAAGCGUGGGGAGCAAACAGGAUUAGAAACCCUAGUAGUCC